UCCGCUUCUGUCUGACGUUAGCUCCAUGCUAAACCGAAGAUGGGCUUCAGCUACAAGGAUAUUAACUCUCCUGAACAAAAUGACAACGGAUGACUUGAUGUGGACAGCAGAGCAGGAGCUGAGGACCACGAAGCCCAGCGUCCCUCUGAGCUGUGAGCCGGACCUGAAGUCUUUGUUUUGGCUUGA